UACGGGGGGGAGCAAGCGUUGUUCGGAUUUACUGGGCGUAAAGGGCGCGUAGGCGGUCAGCACAAGUCAGUUGUGAAAUCUCCGGGCUUAACUCGGAAAGGUCAACUGAUACUGUGCGACUAGAGUGCAGAAGGGGCAACUGGAAUUCCCGGUGUAGUGGUGGAAUGCGUAGAUAUCGGGAGGAACACCAGUGGCGAAGGCGGUUACCUGGAGCUUUGCUGACGCUGAUGCGCGAAAGCGUGGGGAGCG
rnacentral:rRNA from 1 species